rnacentral:misc_RNA from 1 species
UGGCUCUGGCAACGAUGAAGAACGCAGCGAAACGCGAAAGGUAAUGCGAAUUGCAGAAUCAGUGAGUCAUCGAAUCUUUGAACGCACAUUGCGCCUCUCGGUAUUCCGGGAGGCACGCCUGUUCGAGCGCCAUUACACACUCCAAGCAAUGCUUGAUGUUGGGCGAUGCGGUUUGCAUUUUCGCGAACUGCACGCCUGGAACGCGUGGGCGCCCGCCGCCGGACCACGAGCGUAGCACGAUUUGACGUUCAGUCAUUUUUUCGCUGUGUGGAUUUUUCCGACGGGGGGUAGUCAAACAAAAACUUUUAUACAAGAGUUUGGCCUCGGAUCAGGCGGGGAUACCCGCUGA